GAAAAUUGGAGGAUAGAGAGGAACCCAGCAAUCGAUUUGGGCCAUGCAAAUGCAAAAUGAUCUACCAGCUGCUUUCUCUUGUUUUGUCCCGGAAGCUAGCAGGGCCUUUUCAAUAGGUUCUCCCAGAAGAUUUAAAAUGCUCCCUGAGGUUUUGCAGUGCAGGGCCGGUCCGCUGGGCGGCAGGUGUCAUGUGGCCUGUGUUUCAGACCAUGGUGCGUUCCUGUGCUUCCUAGUCUCCUUUCCUGUGGCCUUCGUGGUCCGGGCUGUGGGCUACCACCUGGAAUGGUUCAUCACGGGGAAGGAUUCUCAGCCUGUGGAGGAGAAAGAGAGCAUCUUGGAGCGCCGAGAGGACCGAAAGCUGGAGAUGCUGCCGCUUCCCAAGGACCUCACUCAGGUGUACUUUUCCAGAAAGCAGAAGGACGAAAGGAGAAGCCGGUGAGUUGAGACAAGAUCCACCCUGUUGCAAAGGAAUGCCAAAGGUCUCCACCCCGCUGCUGAGGAAUGUCCAGAUCUGCAGUAUGAGCAAGAAAAUAUAUCCCAGAAGUAGCAAAGUGAAAUUCACAUUUGGUAUCCGGUGGAAUCUUACCAGGGAAGCCCAUGAACAAAGAAAACGACCCACGAUGAGAAGAAAAAAAGCCCAGCAAUGAAGAUGUUGGAGGGAGCGGGCCAGCCGUGAGAGGAGUCAUCAUCACCGUUUUUUGUUUUUGUUUUUGUUUUAAGGUCAAUAAACGAAGAAUCUCUGA